AUUUCUGUGGAGGAACUAGAGCGUUUGACUUUUACAGUUUCCCACAGUCAGGAUUUUGUUGACUGCGUAUUUAUGGUUUCAUACAACAUGUUUCUCUAUUCUCCACUUUUCCUGCAAACUGGCAACUGGAUCAUGAGGACUGAUCAGACUCAAGUCUGUCUCUUUGGUAACAUUUGAGGGAGACCUCCCUGUUCACAGAUCUUGGUUUUGCUGUGUUCACAAAUCCCUAAGAAGUUUACCUUGGAAUAUGAGGGGAGCCCCCAGAGACCACUGCUUUUAUUUUUGGCUUAGCCCGAGCCUCUCAAAUACAGAAGCACCUUUCUGUCAGAUCGUCAGGUCACCUCUGCAUGGACCAGCCUUCAUUCCUGAACGGGCCUUUAGACAUCUGACUCACAGCAGAAAAAGAUCACUUUGACUUUCUAUUUACAUUUCAUUUGGCAGAAAGCAGCAAACUACACUUUGAAGAGAAGAAGUGGAAUUCCAGAAAUAUUCAGUGGCAAGCUCAAGUUCACAGUGUCAGAGCAAAACAAAGACUAGAACUCCUGGUGCAGACUGAAUGCCCACAGCAGUCUCCUGCAGUCAGCUGUGCUGUCCCAUGAUCUCUCACUGCAGGAGCAGAAUUGACUGAAGGUCUCAGCUGCUGAGCCUGGAAAUCCAUACUGGAAUUGGUGCUGAAGCCAUACUUGCCAUAGGCUGCUGCCAACCAAUGACUGAGCCCAGCAGGGAUCCCGAGGAUGGCUCAUUCCAGCGGGGGAGGACUCCUCUGGUGGACAGCUUGAGCUGAGUAAUUCCCUAGCUGUGUUGCUGAACUUCCUUGACCCUGCACUGCCAUUUAAGAUUCUCCCACCCAACUUGCCUUCUUCCUUCUGUCCUUCACAAGGGUCAGACCUACAUAAAGAUAUGAUAACUCUCAUAGCCUCUCCUGGCUCCCUUCCCAUGUUCCCUCACAGGGGUUUGCCUUAAUAAAAUACUUGCAUAUUUAACCCUCUCAUGAUACCUGCUUCUCAGAGGACCCAGACUAACAUACUGUGACCAGGCAGAGAGCAGGGCUGAAGCAAGUAACCUUCCUUUUUCAAUAGGCAGUGCACCUUUGAUAGCUAAUGGUGAUGAUCAAAGAAUCUCAGAACCAUAAAGACACCCACAGAGAUAUGGUUUACUCAUCCUGGUGAUCUUCAGAUGGUAAACACUUAAAGAGUGCACAACACAUGUCUACUGCCUUGUUAACACAUCUCAGAUUUGUCUCAUGUUCUUAAGUGGAUGAAACUUCUGGUGCUGAUAAUCAAGUCGUCAGCUGGUGAAUGCCGAGCUGAAGUUAGAAAACAGUUCUGUUAAAAGCAAUUUCUUUGCUGACUGGCCAGAGUGAAGAGUACUUAAGAACUGUUUUUCUUAUUACCAUAACAAUCAUCAUUGAAAGAAUUUUUAAACCUUGGAUGAAGGAGUAGAAGGCAGAAGAAAGAAGUGACAUUUGCAUGGAUUAGAUAACUUACCAGUUCAUUUAAAGAGGCCUAUGAGGAAGAUGUUAUUAUUUCCUUUCUGUGUGCAAGGAAAUUGAGACUCAGAAUGGUAACUUGCUCUAGGUCACUGUCUUAGUCUAUUUUCCAGAUGUUGUAAUAAGAUAUCAUAAGGUGAGUAGCUUAUAAACAACAUAAAUUUAUUUCUCAUACUUCUUAAGGCGGGACAAUUCAAGAUCAAGGUGCCAGCAGAUUUCGUGUCUGGUGAGGGCACACUUUCUGGUUCAUAGUGUCUUCUCACUGUGUCCUCACAUGGUAAAAUGGGUGGCGGGGGUGGGGAGGGUUUCUCUAAGGCCUCUUAUAUAAGGACACUAAGCCCAUUCAUGAGGGCUCUGCCCCUAUGACCUAAUCACCUCACAAAGGCCCCACCUCCUAAUACCAUCACCUUGGGAAUGAAGACUUCAACAUAUGAAUUUGGGGGCGGGGGGUGCAUAAACAAUCAGACAAUAGCAGUCAUAUAACAAAGAAAGAAAGAAAGAAAGAAAGAAAGAAAGAAAGAAAGAAAGAAAGAAAGAAAGAAAGAGAGAGAGAAAAAAGUCCCUGAGCACACGUUUUUCAGAUUCAAUAAUUCAGACAGAUGCUUCUGUGUUUAUGGAGCUGGCUAUUGGUUGUUUUCUAGUAUGGACCUAAGAAACUGGACCAGAGAUCUCUAACCCAUACAUUGAUUUUCUUCCUCAAAUAGAGAAUGUGCCUGCUCAUGGCAUGAUAAGCUGAGCAUUACAGUGAUAGUAGGUAAAGAGAGUUGGAGAACGUCUGGAAGAAAUGGUGAGGCAUACUGGGUUCCCUAAGGGGAAAUUAUUUGCUUGCUAUUCAUUUCCACAGGGAUUUAUGAUUAGAGAGUGUUUGAAUAUAUUACUCUCUAGAUGGUCAGCUUCCAUAUGUGGCUAUGCCUGGGUAGCAUUUACUCUCUAUUAUUCAGACAAUUUAGGUCAACCCAUACUUUUUCCUCACUUAUUUUAAUAUUUGACAAGGCAGGUGGUGGCAGAUAUCAAACA
rnacentral:lncRNA from 10 species